CGCUGUNNNGNCNCUNUCUCUANNACAUGCAAGUCGAACGAUGAAGCCCUUCGGGGUGGAUUAGUGGCGAACGGGUGAGUAACACGUGGGCAAUCUGCCCUUCACUCUGGGACAAGCCCUGGAAACGGGGUCUAAUACCGGAUAAUACUCCUGCCUGCAUGGGCGGGGGUUGAAAGCUCCGGCGGUGAAGGAUGAGCCCGCGGCCUAUCAGCUUGUUGGUGGGGUAAUGGCCCACCAAGGCGACGACGGGUAGCCGGCCUGAGAGGGCGACCGGCCACACUGGGACUGAGACACGGCCCAGACUCCUACGGGAGGCAGCAGUGGGGAAUAUUGCACAAUGGGCGAAAGCCUGAUGCAGCGACGCCGCGUGAGGGAUGACGGCCUUCGGGUUGUAAACCUCUUUCAGCAGGGAAGAAGCGAAAGUGACGGUACCUGCAGAAGAAGCGCCGGCUAACUACGUGCCAGCAGCCGCGGUAAUACGUAGGGCGCAAGCGUUGUCCGGAAUUAUUGGGCGUAAAGAGCUCGUAGGCGGCUUGUCACGUCGGAUGUGAAAGCCCGAGGCUUAACCUCGGGUCUGCAUUCGAUACGGGCUAGCUAGAGUGUGGUAGGGGAGAUCGGAAUUCCUGGUGUAGCGGUGAAAUGCGCAGAUAUCAGGAGGAACACCGGUGGCGAANGCGGAUCUCUGGGCCAUUACUGACGCUGAGGAGCGAAAGCGUGGGGAGCGAACAGGAUUAGAUACCCUGGUAGUCCACGCCGUAAACGUUGGGAACUAGGUGUUGGCGACAUUCCACGUCGUCGGUGCCNCAGCUAACGCAUNAAUUCCCCNCUGGGGNUNCNGCNCAAGGUAAACUCAAGNAUUGACGGGGCCCCCCANCGCGGACNUUGGCUUAUUNACCACCAAAACUACANGNUGNUUCCGAANNUAAAANNGCCCCUNGGCGNUNGGGGCUGGGCCACUUNCGNANUGGUANCCCACACACCUUCUNNCCUCCUNGGAGGNAGACCGNAUGNAGGGNAAAUUCCUUUGUCCUAGCCANNNCNGGNAAACCUUUGNNCCAGUUAAAUNAUCNCCCCAACCCCGGGGGGGAAG
rnacentral:rRNA from 1 species